CUUCCCAUUUUAGUACCGUUCACUCACCUCUCCAUGAGUGAACGGCUAUGUUGAUGGGAUAGAAUGAACCCUGCCGCGAUCUGAAGGUGUGGCUCCCGUAAAGUGGACCCCACUUAAUGAAGCUGCAGAACAUUAUCCU